UGUCGUAGGAUCUCUUUUAUUCUUUAAAUACAUAAAUGACCUGACGGACAGAGUGAGCAGCAGUUUGCGGCAGUUUGCUCAUGAAGCUGCGAUGUACGGGAAGGUGUCGUCAUUGAGUGACUGAAGCAGUGUACAACAUUACUUAGACAAACUUUCUAGUUUGCGUGAUGAAUGCGAGCUUGUCCUAAAUGUAGGAAAAUGUCAGUUAACGCGGACGAGUAGAAAAAUAGUCCUGUAAUGUUCAAACACAGCAUUAGUAGGUUGCAGGUUGAACAGUCAUUUCGAUUAAGUACCUAGGCAUAACGUUGCAAAGCAAUAUGAAAUGGAAUGAGUACGUCAGGUUAGUAGUAGAGAAGGCGAAUGUUCGACUUCGUUUUGUUGGGAGGAUUUUAGGAAAGUGUAGCUGAUCCAUAAUGUAGACGGUGUACAGAACUUUAGUGCGAUCCAUUCUUGAGUAUUGAUCGAGUGUUUUGGAUUCCCAACAGUCAGAUGGAAGGAAGCCACAGAAGCAGGCUGAUAGAUUAGUUACCGGUAGGUGUGAUCAACCAUAACCACCACCACCUAGAGUCAAGGCUGCGGCGCGAAUUUCAUAGACGGGCCACCAUUUUGUGUUUAGAAGCGUUUCAGUAUGUGCACGUAUGUUGGAACAUGGUUUACAAAUGCUGUGUACAAAGGUGUCGUGAGAAUUACGGAACUAGACCGAAAGUAAUGGUAUUUUCCUUUCCGAAAGAUUCGAAUCUGUGUCGGAAAUGGCUUUCAGCGAUUCAUUGGGACAAUUUCCAACCCACUCAGCACAAGAAGGCACGCUGGGCACCUGCCAUCAUCACCGAGCUCUGCGGCCAGGCAAUGGCAUCUCUCCAGUGGGCCGACGGUUCCGCCGUCUGCUGACACCUCAACCAGCUCUGCCUCCGUCUGGUAGACCACGACACCCCAGGGAAGCUGCCAGUGCCUAUCGCCGACUGCCUUGUGGUGGAACCUCUGCUUCCGCCUCCACCGCAGCUGCUGUCUCCACCGCCAGCUGCCCGUGCUGCAUCACUGCCUCCCACCCCUGCUGGCCAUGAACCCCUGGAUGUCGACCAGGAUGCCCCUACUCCUGUGGAUGUUUGUGGUGCUGUGCAUUUUUUUCUCAGGGGGAGAAAUGUCGUAGCGGUUCCUUAUUGUUAGAGGACCCACAGAACCGACACACAAGAUGGGUUGCUAACUCCGUUUCAGCAGCACGGAGAGAAACAUCGCCAGCAGACAGAAACAAUAACAGACUUUUCAAAUAAACACGGAACUACUUCAGCAGACAACACACCAACUCUGUUCCACCAAUAGGAACUUAUAUGUCUGAUGUAGCUCUCUGCCGACCUGGCUUUAUAAGCACGCCUAGACAGGCAGUGUUUACCAACCUCUAGGAACAGCUCCGGCCAGUACUUACGCCAGCCCUAGCAUUGUAUUCACUCGCCAUAGCAUUGUAGUAGCAUGUUGUAUUUUGUACUGUACAGUAAAUUUUGGUCAGUAUUUUUCUUGCAUUGUCUUGUUUCCUUAUUUGGUUUGUUACCACAAGAUUUGUGGAUUUUCUUGUUAUUCUUGCGUUUAAAACUUAGUGUAUGCCAAGAAGGCCUUUUUUUUCUUUAAUUAUAAUAAAGUGUGUUCAAAUUGACUGUUAGUUAUUUUUCCUGCUGACUGCAAGACACAACAGUCACAAAUUUGAUCAUCAUAAAAUCCACACGCUUUAAGAGGAACCCCAGGGACCUUGAGAAAAUCAGAGUGCUGGUUGCCGUAACUCGAGUGCGAAUUAUAGCGCUGACCUUUUUCAGUACAACCAUCACUACUGAUGUAUUUUGUCCCCAUAUAUUUUUCCCUUUAUUGCACCACUGAAUGAAAAUGAGAUUAAUCAUUUAUUUUUGCAACAUGACAACGCCACUGCUGAUAAGGCACACCAGUGCCUACGACUUUUUGAUGAAAUCUUUGGAGGCAGAGUAAUUACGAAAGGUCUCUGGGCCAUGUGCUCAACAGAUCUGUCACAGCCCAACUAUUGCCUUUGGGGUGCGGUUAAAACAUUUGCAUAUCAAAAUAACCCAAAGACAAUGGAUGAACUAAAGACAGCAAUAAUUGGUUAUCUGCACUGAGUUACAAAAGAAACAUUGGCAAAGGUGUUCACAAAUAAAUGUAGACGUGUUGAUCUAUGCCUUAAAGAAAGAGGAAAACAUUUCCAGUGUCUACUAUGAUAGUGAUGAGUAUAGUGUAUUUAACUGUAAUUAAUAUAAUUAAUAAAUUUCAUUGUUUUAAUUGUAAUAAUGUUGAAUCCCAUCUCCCAACAUGACUGCAGCCACUAGCAGUGAAUCCAGGUCCCUAGCUUAUACAACAACAUGAAUGUACUGCCAACCUUAGGGAUUGAAAACAGCAACCAAUCACAUUAUUUCUAAGAAUCAAGUCAUGGCAGCAAGUACAGCUCAUGUGAGCUUUGUUCCACAGAGAGCUCACUGUGCUCAGACUCAAUACCAUCACCAAAGUUGAUAGACAUCGCUAACAGUAAAAACUGGGCAUGUACACAUCAUAUCAACAUCAUGGAUAGAUAUUACCACGAUUACCCUAACAUCUUCCAUUGCUUGACAGUUUGUGGGUGUGCAGUUCCACCCAUCAGCUAUGACCAGUGGUGUCAUGAGUUUAUGAUGAGGAGUAUUGUAUAGUGGAUUUCUGUGGCUGUUUGAGUAACAUAAACUAUAAUUCUUAUUUACUUCAUGUAUGUAUGUUUUGUUUUCUUUCUGUGGGUAUUUUUAUCAUGUUAUGUUUGCAAUAUAAUUUGUGGUUAAAGAGUUAUGUAUGGGAACUGUCAUUAUAAUUUAUAGUAGCAAUAUUUGUUUGAAUGAUCUUUUAUUUCUGGAUAUGUUUGUUUGUUUUCCUAUCCUAUUGUGCUUGCAGUAUAAAUGAUGUUUCAAUAAUGUUUGUGUAUUGAGACUGUCUUGUAUUAACUGUGAUUUCUGUAUUGUGUAAUGGAUGCAAUGGUUGUAUUUAAUGCUCAAGUGUAGCAAGAGAUGUGUGGGGCCAUGAGUCAUGCAGUAAAUUUUACAGAAAAUAGGAGUUAUUUGUGAUUAUUGUGUGUGUGUGUGUGUGUGUGUGUGUGUGUGUGUGUGUGUGUGUGUGUGUGUGUGUGUGUGUGGGGUCCAUUAUUUUUGUGAGUUUUCAUUAGAUAUAUAUUGUGAUUUAGUUUAUGAUUUAUUUAGGAUUUACUUUUGUGGUAUCACUGUCUAUACUUGAGCUCUACAGGGUUACCCAGGAUGAAUGAUCAAUAUUCAGAGAUUUGACGGGAGUGCUCAUUUGAAGCAUCUAACUUCAUAUUGGCAUACACCCUAUUCCAAAGGUUUUCAAGGUAGAACAUUUAAUGUACAUUUGAUUUUGGGCUAGUGGCACACUCAUAUGUGCCUUAGUACCCACCCUGCUUGAAAUUUCAUACUAGCCCAACCUACCUCGUUGCUUUCCACCUCUUUGCUUGGUGUAUCUUUCUGCAGUUAAACUAGCUCACUGCAUACACAGCUGUCCAUGGUGUUUCUUGAGUGAAAUAGUGGGAGGGAUUGAGGGUGUAUCAGAGUGGUUCAUCAGUUAGCUGUGUUUGUACAUGUGCUGGCUAAAAUGCCACACAUCUACAUUAAUGAAGAAUAUCCAGAUGUGGUGUAUGCUUAUGGCUUCUGUGAUGGUAGUGCCCCUGCUGAUGUUGAAGAAUAUCAUGGCACUUUCUGACAUGUAGAAUUCCUGAGUGUAGGAUGUUUACUUACAGGUGAAUGUGUUACAAAUACAUACUUUUCAAUUGAUUACUAACUGUUGUACAUGCACACAUUUGUAAACCUGACAAUGUAGGGAAUAAUACAGGAAAUAAAUAAUAAUGUAUGUCAAA